UACUGACCUGCUGACACUGUACAGGUGCGCUUGUGCCCAGAGAAGGAGAGAGAGAGCCAGAGCUGUCCGUCUUUGCAGAUGGACAGGAGGGAGCCAGAACACAGCUCUGCUCACUUGUACCCACAGAGAGAGAGAAAGAGUUAAGCUGCUGACCCUGAAGGGAGAGCCAGCCAUGCAGCUGUGUGUGGGAGCCGCCGGGCUAAGCAGCCAAGACAAGGCGAACAGUGUGACAGAGCUAGUGUGAGUGAGCUGCUGCUAAGAGAGUUACUGAAUAAAACAACCUUUCACCUGCCUACAGCCCCCGCAGCGUUCUUUCAGCUAUCUGCUCGUCCAUCCACUCGCUUCGGACCUCAGCAUGAGCUGGAACCUGACUCCAAACAGGACAGAGAGUAGUACCAUUGUUCAUUUUCACCACGAGGAUUUCAUCUCAAGAAAACAUUUUCUUUGCUCAUCCAUAAGAAGCAACUCUUCAUCAAUUCAAGUUUUAUGAUGAGAUUGAAGUAUUCAGACACAUCUUCAGGAUAAUUCUAGUUCUCUUGCUAUUUCUACAUCUGCAGGUAUUUCCUCUACUGAAGUUUUGGAUCCCUCAAAGUCACCCAUGAAGAUACAUGGUUUCUUCUCUGUUGCCCAGGCUGGAGUGCAGUGGCACCAUCAUAGCUCACUGCAACCUCAAACUCCUGCCCUCAAGUGGUCCUAUCGUCUCACCUUCCCAAAAUGCUAAAAUUACAGGUAUGAGCCAGUACCCAGCCAUUGUUUUCUUUUUCAUUCUUUUCUUCCCAAUUUGAGUUAUAAUAGAGUGAUAAGCAUCUGCCUAAUUACAAGUAAUUAUGAUAAACAGGGAUCCACUCUAACUUCAAAUAAAACCAAUGUAAGGCACAACUAUUCAGGAAUAUUUUGUAUUUUCAAAGUAUUUAGGAAUUCUUUAAUUAGAAAAAUAAAGGCAAUGGGAUUAUCUAUCAGGUUCUAAAAGUACCCAUGAA
rnacentral:lncRNA from 10 species